CGAAAGAAUUAAGAAGGAUAUCGAUGAAAAAAUACAGAAGCUAUACAAUGGAAGCACAAUAAAAUAACAGAAGCAGUGGAAUAACAUAACGGAAAAAUAGCGAAAUAACAGAAGACGACGUUGAUGGUUUUAAGGGAACUUCGAAUAACGGAGUGCAGGGAAUAAAGAGACGAAGGAAAACACAGUGAUUCGACUGAAAAUAAAGCAGUUAAACUUUGAAGAUGCGAAAACUCGACGUACUAGAGUAAAAAGAAAGGUACGAGAAAAUGGAAGCUUGAGACUCGAAGAAAAAUAUAUGGAGGUAAUUCUAGAGAUAUCGAUUUUCUACUUCUACGUCAAAUAAAUCGGACGCUUUGUUGUCGUUGGGCCAUUUUAAUUCACACGAGGGAUCGACUUUCCUUGAACUAUGAGCCAAAGUAGCAGAUUUUUAUCUGGACAGUUUUCGAUAUUGCUUACAAAAUGCUACGUCGCUGGGAUAACGCGAACCGAAUGAAAAAGAGAGAAAUAAAUCACUUUCGAUUGAACGGGAGAAACGAA
rnacentral:misc_RNA from 1 species